GAUGAACGCUGGCGGCGUGCCUAAUACAUGCAAGUCGAGCGAACAGACGAGGAGCUUGCUCCUCUGACGUUAGCGGCGGACGGGUGAGUCACACGUGGAUAACCUACCUAUAAGACUGGGAUAACUUCGGGAAACCGGAGCUAAUACCGGAUAAUAUAUUGAACCGCAUGGUUCAAUAGUGAAAGACGGUUUUGCUGUCACUUAUAGAUGGAUCCGCGCCGCAUUAGCUAGUUGGUAAGGUAACGGCUUACCAAGGCAACGAUGCGUAGCCGACCUGAGAGGGUGAUCGGCCACACUGGAACUGAGACACGGUCCAGACUCCUACGGGAGGCAGCAGUAGGGAAUCUUCCGCAAUGGACGAAAGCUUGACGGAGCAACGCCGCGUGAGUGAUGAAGGUCUUCGGAUCGUAAAACUCUGUUAUUAGGGAAGAACAAAUGUGUAAGUAACUAUGCACGUCUUGACGGUACCUAAUCAGAAAGCCACGGCUAACUACGUG
rnacentral:rRNA from 1 species